CAGUUAAAAAGCUCGUAGUUGGACUUCCGGUCUAAUGCGUCUGGCCCGCGGCCGUCAGGCAUGUGAGUGCCGAUCGCGUUUACCAUCUUCUAGAAAACGAGUCUUCCCUUUACUGGGCCGGACUCGGGAUCUGGAUCAUUUACUUUGAAAAAUUAGAGUGUUUAAAGCAGGCGAUUGCAAGACUAACUUAUGCGAAAGCAUUCACCAAGGAUGUCUUCUUCUGUCUCUUAUACACAUCUCCGAGCCCACGAGACACCUCAUGAUCUCGUAUGC
rnacentral:rRNA from 1 species